UACGUAGGGGGCUAGCGUUAUCCGGAAUUACUGGGCGUAAAGGGUGCGUAGGUGGUUUCUUAAGUCAGAGGUGAAAGGCUACGGCUCAACCGUAGUAAGCCUUUGAAACUGGGAAACUUGAGUGCAGGAGAGGAGAGUGGAAUUCCUAGUGUAGCGGUGAAAUGCGUAGAUAUUAGGAGGAACACCAGUUGCGAGGGCGGCUCUCUGGACUGUAACUGACACUGAGGCACGAAAGCGUGGGGAGCAAACAGGAUUAGAUACCCGCGUAGUCCCUGAGCGGG
rnacentral:rRNA from 1 species